GGCCCUAUCGUCUAACGGUUAGGACAUUGCCUUCUCAAGGCAGUAAUCGGGGUUCGAUUCCCCGUGGGGUCACCA
rnacentral:tRNA from 1 species